rnacentral:lncRNA from 1 species
CCGGUGCAAAUGCAAGCAAAACGGGAGACAGUGCAAUAGUCGGUGUCACAGUUCAACAACUUGUGAUAACAAAUGAUUUUAACACAAAUUUCCAUCAAUUUUCAUAUUUUAUAAGAAAUAUUUGAUAAGUUUUAAUAUAAAAACCUAUUUUAUCUGUGAUUUUAUUUCCAGUAGAUGACAUUUUAAACUUCAGUUCUCGUAAUGCUAUUAUGUAACAAAUGUAUAAUUUUUUAUUUAAUUGAAUAAAUGUCUUUUAUUUACUCGCAUUUAAUUUUUAGGCAAUAAGCUUAAUGCCUGGACACAUUUUUUAGGAUUUAAGCUUAAAUCCUAGGAUUUAAGACUAAUGCCUAACAUCAUUUAGGCAUUAGACUUAAUUUCUAGGCGUUAGCUUAUUGCCUAGGAUUUAAGCUUAAUGCCUAAUUUCACUUAUGAGGGCCCUCAUGGGGUUUUUGAUUAUGUGAUUACUUGGCCGUUUUUUUAAUGAUUAUUUGAUUAUUAAGCCAAAUAUUUCAUGAUUAUUUGAUUACCUAGGACUGUAUUUUUAGUUUAUGAUUAUUUGAUUACUAAAGAUAAGCAAAUAUUUAAUGAUUAUGUGAUUAUAUUGGCAAAAAAAUGGUGAUUAUGUGAUUACUAGGACCCCCCCCAUGAGGGGCCUCACUUAU